rnacentral:piRNA from 1 species
UACAAAGACUGGGGAAACUGGAUUGAAUC